AACGAACGCUGGCGGCAUGCCUAACACAUGCAAGUCGAACGAGACCUUCGGGUCUAGUGGCGCACGGGUGCGUAACGCGUGGGAACCUGCCUUUAGGUUCGGAAUAACUCAGAGAAAUUUGAGCUAAUACCGGAUGAUGUCUUCGGACCAAAGAUUUAUCGCCUUUAGAUGGGCCCGCGUUGGAUUAGCUAGUUGGUGGGGUAAAGGCCUACCAAGGCGACGAUCCAUAGCUGGUCUGAGAGGAUGAUCAGCCACACUGGGACUGAGACACGGCCCAGACUCCUACGGGAAGCAGCAGUGGGGAAUAUUGGACAAUGGGCGAAAGCCUGAUCCAGCGAUGCCGCGUGAGUGAUGAAGGCCUUAGGGUUGUAAAGCUCUUUUACCCGAGAUGAUAAUGACAGUAUCGGGAGAAUAAGCUCCGGCUAACUCCGUG
rnacentral:rRNA from 1 species